CAAUGUUUGCUAGUAAACGAUUUUUAAAGGUAUAUGACAUCAUUUUUAUUUAUAAUGGAUGAUAGCACAUUUAGUAGAAUAUUUUACCAAUAAUUCUAUAUUUGCGUUAAGAACAACAAGAAUUACCGUGAUAGAGAUUUGUUUAAUAUCUAUGUGAUGUUAAGAAUAGGUCACGAUUAAAGAGACUAGGGACGCGAUGCAAAGAGAAAGAAGCCGGUCUUGUAUUUUGCCUAAUUGUUAAAAUAACUAAAAAAUAUUCAGAGUUAUAUUACUAUUAUACAUUUGUUGUCAUCUGCAGUUUUCAUUUGUGUUGAAAUCAAAAAAUUAUUUACAGUUUUAUGAAAUAAUUUGAUGCUAAUUAAAAAAUCUCGCUUCGGGGUCCCAAAUAAGUAUUAUCCACGCCUGAUCAAUAGUUUGAACAAAUUAAUAAUAUAAUAAACGCGGAGAACAUUUUAUAAAAAAUGUAUUAUUUUUACAGAAUUUUAUUUGUUUUAAUUGAAAUCAACAAUAUCUUUAAAAAUUAAACGCGCAUUACUUAUUUAUAUGGGUGGGAUAUGAGUUGCCAAAAACUGCAAAGUUAUAAUAAGUCUCUCGCAUAGAAAAAAAGUAUUCAAAGUCGAUUGAUGACAUGCGUAUAAAUUUUUUAAAUUACUUUAAAAUUUCUUGUUUCCCAAGAGUAUUUAUUAUCUAUAACAAUAUAUUGAUUGUUACAGUAUUUGUCACCAUCUUCUACUUAUUUAAGUUUUAUUUAUUUUUUACGAAUAGAAUACAUUAAAAAAAACCCAGCACACGGGGGUCGCGGCAUAGUUGGAUCAAGUAUAAUGAUAUCUGACAGUGAUUAAAAUCACUAUAAAAAAAAAAAACGCUUCGAUGCAAAUCUUUAGAUAGUGUUUUAUUUUAAAAAUUAGUGGAUUAUUCCAAAAGCUACAUGAUCUGCUAGUUCCUUAUUAAUAUCCUGAUUAAGAUAAAUUAUAUCAAAAGAAAAAGGGAAUAUUAAAAAAUAUUAUUUCUCCAAAAAAAAUUAUGUUGAUCCAUACACUUUUAAAUUAGUUAUAGCAUUAUAAUGUUAAAAAUGUAAAAAAUAAAAUCCGAAAUUUUUUUUUACAUAAUAAAGUAGAUUACAUUAGCUUUAAUUUAAGAUAUAUAUAAAAGUGUCAGACCUUCUGGAACAUUUUCAAAAGUCAAGUUGAAAAAAUUAAGUUUUUGUGAAAUAGUUGUAAUUUUAAAUCCCCCUCUGUGGACAGGAAAAAAGUCAGAUUUAUAAAAAAAAUAUACCAAAUGAUAGGUAAAGACAUCAUGCAUCUAUAAAAAAAAAAUUAUAUUGAUUUGGUUAUUUUUUAAAAAGUUAUGGUAAUUUUUAGUAAAAAAAAUUGAAAAAAUUUCGAAAAUUAGCGUUUUUUAAAUUUGUAAUUUUUUUGGAGGUUUCCCCCAUUUACGGGGAACGAGGGAAAUUUUUUCAAUUUUUGAGGGUUAUGUCUUCGACAAGAUACGAUUUGUGAUCUUUUGACGUAUCAUUGAAAGAAAUCGGUUCGGUGAGAGCUGAGAAAAAGUGGUAACAGACGCAAAAAAAAAAAAAAAUAAACGCAUCUUAGUAAAACCAAUACCUUCUCAGCUUCGCAUGGAAGCUAAAAGUAGCGUUAUUUAAAAUUGGCCUUAAAAUUGUUAUAAAGUAAUGUACACAUUGCUUGUUACUCGACAUUGCUUGCCGUUUGUUAAAUGUUGAAAUAUUCGAGGGGUUGUAAAGUUCAGUAGAUGUGCUAAAUGGUGGGAAAAUCAUAUAAGUUGAGGUAUCACCUACAAACCAAGUAAUACACUGUCAUUCAUCCUAUUGCGUAUUAUGUGUGAGCACCAGAGUUACAAUUCGUUAUUCUCUAGGGGAACAUUACCAAUGUGUCCGACUGGACACGACCGGUGUAACACAUUGUACAUCACGUAGUGAUGAAUAUAAUCAAGGGGUUAUUAUUGUUAUUUGGAUGUAUGUUAUAUUAAUUAAACGCGAGGUUAUCGUUUUAUAGAACUUCUUAAAUGUUUUCCUACCGUUUCUCAAGUGUGUAACAUAUCAAUAUUGUGAAUUCUAUUAUUUUAUAUCUAAUAAGUGUAAUGUGAUUUACUAUUAUGUUUAUUUAUACUUAUACUAUGUUGUUUUCUUAUACUAUUACAAGGCAAUUCAAUAGUAAUUGAAAAAUUUAUGACCUGACAGAUCAUAUGACCAUCUAAGGUAAACUACAUUAUCUAAAAAGAUAACAACUUAACGUUUAUAAUAUACAGGAUGUUUAGUAAGUCAGGAAACGGGUUUCUAUUGUUCUCAUUGUUUGUAACAAUGAGAACAAUAGAAACCGUUUUCUGACUUACUGAUCAAUCUGUACAAUAAUCUAUGUAGUUGUUUCUUUAUUGCCCGAGGAUUAAGUGAUAAUACAACUUAAUAUUCGAUUAUAUAUCAUUCUGUGUUGAAUAUGCUCUUUGUUGUUGUAGUAGAAUGUAAAAUUACAAUUUAUACUUGUAACUUUAUUUCCACAUGAAAAUAUUACACUUAUAUUGGUCUAAGGAUUGUACACUAUUUGGAUAGUAUCAUUGGAAUAUGUAUGAGAUAUAUACGUCACUGCGAUACCACAUUGUGAUGUAUAUUGGUUGAAUUAUUCUUUACUAAGAAUUUAUUUUGACAUUGUAUGAAUUUCUUUGUAAUAUCAAUUAAUCUAUUUACAUACACUUCCAAGGCGUAAAAUUACAUAGCUUUCCAAUUGUGACAAAUGUUUUUUCUAAGUCUGCUCAAAAGUACAUAUCUAUAGAAAUUUACUGUAAUUUUAAGAACAAAAUCAGACAUUACGUCAAUUUAAAAAACAUAUUUAUGCAAACAGAAGGUUGAUAAGAAAAUCUAAA